GUCCCUGUAGCGUAAUGGAUAGUGCUUUGGACGUCUGAUCCGAAGGUUAUGGUUUCGAACCCCAUCUGGGAUG